rnacentral:misc_RNA from 1 species
AAGUCGUAACAAGGUUUCCGUAGGUAGAGAUGGUUUGCCUCCGGAAGCUCAUCGCAACGACGUAAAUAAGUGCGUGGUCCACACUUCCCAGUGCGGGCAACACCGUUCAAGUGCUGAAAGCUUCGAGUGACUCGGGGUGACCAGCAGCCAGCACGUUCUCGGCUGGUUAACAGAUCAUUCGACGGUGACCAUCAUGGUUGAGAUAUGACCGGUCCCAGGCCACACGGCCCCUGGAACAGCGGAACCUGCGGAAGGAUCAUUAUCGAGAGACGGGGUCUAACCGGCCCCACCUCUUCACCCCGUGCCUAUCUACCUAUGUUGCUUUGGCGGGUCCGGGCCAGUCUGGGGGGCAUCUCGCCCCUUCGUCCCGGCCAACAGCCCCCACCAAUCCUGUCGUCAGUGUCGUCCGAGUCAAACAUAUAAUAGUUAAAA